rnacentral:rRNA from 1 species
AUUCCAGCUCCAAUAGGAUAUAUCAAAGUUGUUGCAGUUAAAAAGCUCGUAGUUGAAGUUUUGGAUAGUAGUCUUUGUCUUUUCCGGCUUGGGGAGCAAUCCUCUUCGGGAAGGGCACUCUCUCCACAUUGUGGACCAUCCCUUUUUGUUUUUGCGAUUUUUUUCGCGAAAGCAGAAAGGGCCACUCCGUCACUGAGAGCAAAUUGGAGUGCUCAAAGCAGGCUUUACAGCUUUGAACAUAUUAGCUUGGAAUGACAAGAUACGACUCUGGUCGGUUUAUUUUGUUGGUUAUUUAGACUAGAGUAAUGAUUAACAGGAACAGUAGCGGGGGUACUCGUAUUGAAAGGUCAGAGGUGAAAUUCUUGGAUUCUUUCAAGACGAACGACUGCGAAAGCAUUUACCAAGGAUGUUUUCAUUAAUCAAGAACGAAAGCCUGGGGAUCGAAGAUGAUUAGAUACCAUCGUAGUCCAACGCCAUAAACGAUGCCGACUCGGGAUUGGUAGGUGUUCUUUUUAAAACAUGAACCCUAUCAGCACCGUAUGAGAAAUCAAAGUCUUUGGGUUCCGGGGGGAGUAUAGUCGCAAGGAAGAAACUUAAAGGAAUUGACGGAAGGGCACACCAGAGGUGGAGCCUGCGGUUUAAUUUGACUCAACACGGGAAAACUUACCAGGUCCAGACAUGAUGAGGAUUGACAGUUUGAAAGCACUUUCUUGAUUUCAUGGGUGGUGGUGCAUGGCCGUUCUUAGUUGGUGGAGUGAUUUGUCUGGUUGAUUCCGAUAACGAACGAGACGGGGGGAGUUUACUAGUUUGCAUAAUCUAAUUCGCGUUAGAUGGAACUUCUUUACUCGACAACUCGGUUUUACCGAGAGGAAGCGCCCCGCAAUAACAGGUCUGUGAUGCCCUUAGAUGUUCUGGGCUACACGCGCGCUACAAUGACGAGUUCAACGAGUUUUUUAUUCCUUGUCCGGAAGGAUGUGGGUAAUCUUUUCAAUGCUCGUCGUGAUGGGGCUAGAUUUUUGCAAUUAUUAAUCUUCAACGAGGAAUCUCUAGUAUGUGCAGUUCAUCAGACUGCGCAGAAUGCGUCCCUGCCCUUUGUACACACCGCCCGUCGCACCUACCGAUUGGACGAUCCGGCAAGAUGUUUGGAGUGUUGUGUUUGUGUGAUUUCGAUCAUGUGAACAUGACGCAAAGCUCUUCAUACCUUAUCGUCUAGAGGAAGGUGAAGUCGUAACAAGGUCUCCGUAGGUGAACCUGCGGAGG